ACGCUGACGUAUGGCGUCAACGGGGAAACAGCGAACGCGGCGUCCAGUGUUUAGUUUACACAGUUUGUCAAUGAGAACGUGUACAAAGUUGUGAUUCUUCAGUAAACUUGACUGAAAUAUCACAGGUGAGAAAACGAUAUAUCAGCAGGAAAACAAACGUGGCGCGUGCUAGCUAAUUAUGAGGAAACGAUCGACACCUGUUGUUUGUUGGAACAUGUAAACCGUUCACUCGGAGAAGGACGCGGGCUCAGUUUCUCUGGAAAAGUAUUCAGUGUGUAACCUUCACAAAGGAUGUGCCAGAACUGCGCUGGUGAAUUCGACAUCUUUCAAAGAGCGGCGUGUGGUAUCGAUGUGGGCUGCAUCUGGCCAAGUAGAGAAGAGGCACUAUAGUCCAGACCCCUGAUAUCAACAUCUUCAAUACCGUCAAAAGUGGACAGCUCUAAGU